rnacentral:lncRNA from 1 species
UCCCUUUCCACUUCAACCACCCCAAGGCCACCAGAUCUAUGCUCUCCACAAGUUGAAUCCGACAACUCCAAGUUAGAAUCGAGAGCGAGAGAUAGACAGAGGUGUCGCGGUGGUGGUGGUUGUGCGGCGCUGCCGCUGCGAUUGCCGGAGAUCUACCACCGCAACUGCGGCUGCGUUUCUCCACAAAUUGAAUCCGACGACUCCAAGUCAGAAUCGAGAGAAAGAGAUAGAAAGAGGCGUCGCGGUGGUGGUGGCUAUGCGGCGCUGCCGCUGCGAUUGCCGGAGAUUGAGUGGCGGCGGCGCGGCAGACGGGCGGCGACAGGGAGAGGGAGAGGGAGCGUGAGAGAGAGAGAGAGUACAGCGAUAGAGAGAUGGCGGAGGCGACGAGGCCGAGGCGGCGCCGCUUCGCCGGCGAUCUGAGCUCGAAGGGAGGGAGGGAGAGAAAGAG